CCUACGGGAGGCAGCAGUGGGGAAUUUUGGACAAUGGGGGCAACCCUGAUCCAGCCAUUCCGCGUGAGUGAAGAAGGCCUUCGGGUUGUAAAGCUCUUUCGCAAGGGAAGAAAACUUAUGAUCGAAUAAAUCAUGAGGUUGACGGUACCUUGAUAAGAAGCACCGGCUAACUACGUGCCAGCAGCCGCGGUAAUACGUAGGGUGCGAGCGUUAAUCGGAAUUACUGGGCGUAAAGCGUGCGCAGGCGGUUUUGUAAGUCGGAUGUGAAAUCCCCGGGCUCAACCUGGGAACUGCGUUCGAAACUGCAAGGCUAGAGUGUGUCAGAGGGGGGUAGAAUUCCACGUGUAGCAGUGAAAUGCGUAGAGAUGUGGAGGAAUACCAAUGGCGAAGGCAGCCCCCUGGGAUAACACUGACGCUCAUGCACGAAAGCGUGGGGAGCAAACAGGAUUAGAUACCCUGGUAGUCCACGCCCUAAACGAUGUCAACUAGUUGUUGGUAGAGUAAAAUCUAUGAGUAACGUAGCUAACGCGUGAAGUUGACCGCCUGGGGAGUACGGUCGCAAGNUUAAAACUCAAAGGAUUGACGGNNGAGACGNGCGAGACGACGACGAGGAGAGG
rnacentral:rRNA from 1 species